UAUCUCUUUUGGUGGAAUGGUCGGUGUUUGACAAGAUAAAGGGCAACUUUCUACCAGUUGGCCAUACGCAUGAAGACAUUGAUGCAUUAUUUGGCUGUUUUUCAAAGCAUCUUAAAUUUCUUGAUGUAUAUACAGUAAAUGAUAUAAGAAAAGCAUUU